UGGCAGAGCGUGUAAAUGUAAAGACUCUUUCUCUGCCUAUUAUCUGAGUGACUCGGGGUUUUGGUGUCUGCCUCCGAGCGUGUGUGUGUGUAUGUUGGAGGGAGAAAAGAGAUAAAGAGAGAGAGAGUAAGGGAGGGAGAGGCAAGCAGCGUUUCUUCUCCCCCCUUUAGCCUCCCCGUCUCCCUGCUCCCUGUCACUCCAUCCUUCCUCCCCUCUCCUGGACCACCCUCCAGCCCUGCUUCGAACCGGACCGAGACCCCCCCUACCACCCAGACCACCCCGGGACCCUUUGACUCUCCUCACUUCUCCGUCCCACCAAACAAAACCUCUGAGCAGGAAGUCCUCUCCUCUCUUCCCCUGGAGCGCUGUCUGUCAACAACUCAACUGCACCAUAUCCACUGAAUCCACCUCAACAGUGAUUUGAUCUAUUACACUUCUGCUGGGCAGGAGAGCAAAGUAAGUGGUCGUAUUCAAUUAGAUUUUAGAGAAUCCAGACAUUUUGAAAGAUAGAUGGAUCACAAUCCACCCGAUUUGCUUGUAGCAGGCCCU
rnacentral:lncRNA from 1 species